UACGGGGGGGGCAAGCGUUGUUCGGAAUUACUGGGCGUAAAGGGCGCGUAGGCGGCCUGCUAAGUCGGACGUGAAAUCCCUCGGCUCAACCGAGGAACUGCGUCCGAUACUGGUGGGCUUGAAUCCGGGAGAGGGAUGUGGAAUUCCAGGUGUAGCGGUGAAAUGCGUAGAUAUCUGGAGGAACACCGGUGGCGAAGGCGGCUACCUGGACCGGUUCUGACGCUGAUGCGCGAAAGCGUGGGUAGCAAACAGG
rnacentral:rRNA from 1 species